rnacentral:rRNA from 1 species
UACGUAGGGUGCAAGCGUUUAAUCGGAAUUACUGGGCGUAAAGCGUGCGCAGGCGGUUUUGUAAGUCUGUCGUGAAAUCCCCGGGCUCAACCUGGGAAUUGCGAUGGAGACUGCAAGGCUAGAAUCUGGCAGAGGGGGGGUAGAAUUCCACGUGUAGCAGUGAAAUGCGUAGAGAUGUGGGAGGAAUACCGAUGGCGAAGGCAGCCCCCCUGGGCCAAUACUGACGCU